AUGCGCGGAGGAGAGGYUCGCUCGCGUGCUCCCACUAAGGAUUUUUUUUUCCCCAAAGAGGGUUUCACACGCAGGGACGCGCAUGCGCGGCGGGCGCGCGGCCCCGCUGGGCGCUGCCCUCCCACGACGCGGGUGCACGUGCGCCGGCGGGGGCCGCGGGAGGGGACAGCGCCGCGCGCUCAGAGUCCCCGCGACGCGGACGCGCUCGAAAACGAAUCGGGAAGGUGCCGCCUCUGGAGGAGUUAUUUUUGUGCCGUUCRAGGCGAUGCUGCGACUGUUCAGCACACGCACGCGUGCGCACACCCGCUGUCAGCCACCGCCUGUUUGUCACGCUGGCAACCCGCCCGCCGUCCCAAUACCGCGUCCAAGCCGGAAAAUUCAAUAACUAAAAGCCCAAACGGAGCUGGAGCGGCUGCGAGCUCCCUGCUCGUUUCGCCGCGGCUCCCUGCCCGGGCCGAGCGGCUGCAGAGCCAGGCGGCCGCGCCGCGUCCSCGCGCAAACAGGGGUCACGUGCAAAAGCUGGAGGGAGGGAGCAGCCCCGCUCCCCUCCCGGCCGCCCUCCGUCCCGGCAUCCCGGGCUCCCAGGCUCUGGCCCGGGGCCCGCUCCUCUCCCGGACCCUGCCCCGUUCGACGGAUCCAAACUUUUGCAGCGCUCCUGAAACGUUCUGUUCCUGCCUUCCCCCCCUCCUCCAUCCUCUCCAUUUUCCAUUAUUUGCUGCAGGCUCUGCAUUCCCGGGUCGACAGCCAGGAAUCCUCCUGGCCCGGGGAGAGCCGCAGCGCAGCCGGAUGCCCUCGCCGCCGCCCGGCCCUGCCGCCCCCCGCCUCCGAGAUUCCCCCGGUGCCUCCGACGCCCCGAGGGGGAGAAGGAGACGGGACAGGGGGGGCCGAGCCUGGCACGAUCCAGGGUUCCUGCCACCGGGCUGGGACGCGGAGCCCGAGGACGGGUCCAGGGCUCCAACAUCCCUGGGCAGAGCCGAUUCCUUUCCUCGGUCCAGCCGAGCGCUGCUGCCAGGAGACAUCCGUGAUCCAACCUGCACUCCCGCUCUGGCCACGAGCCCGGGGGGGGGGGGUUCUGGAUGCCCAACGCGGGGGAGCAAAGCAGAGCUGGAUCCGCCACGGGACAGGGGACGCUCCUGCCCCGGGCAAGGCGUUGAUCCAGCCCCAGGGAGGCAGGGACCACUGCGGCCGGGAGGACGCCCCGGCCCUGGGAGCCCCACGCAGGGAGGUCAUGGAGACGAGGGCCCGGGGCUGUCGCACCCUCCUCUUCCUCCCAGCCACCCUCUCCCGGCCGGACCCCAGCAGUCAGGUGGGAAAACCAAGACGCCUGAGCCGAGUCGGCCCCCCGGGAACGGGAACGGGGCCGGGGCCGCGCUGCCCCUUGCCGGCCCCCCGCCGCCUCCGCCACGGGGCAGGCGGGGGGCUCCGGCUGGCUGCUUCCCGGCUGAUGCAUGGCUGCGGGAGCGGGAGGCGGGUGCCCUGGCAACGGCGCCAUGGCAACGCGGAUCAGCCAGGCACCGGGACCGGGCGAUGCGCAGCGGCGCCGGGGCCGGAAAGGCCUCGCGCCGCGGGGAGAGCGGAGCGGAGGGGGCUGCGGACCCGCUGCGGCCGGGCGCCCCGGGGCCUCGAGGGCAGAGGAGGGAACGGGAAGCCGCCCCCCCCCCCCUUCGCCCCGACUCCUGCCUCGGUGCCGGCGGCCCCCGGAGCUCCCGGGGGAGCAGCCGCCGACCGCGGGCGAGCGCAUGCGCGUGA
rnacentral:lncRNA from 1 species